UUACUACUCCCUCCGUCCGAAAAUACUUGUCAUAGGCAUGGAUAUAUCUAGAUGUAUUUUAGUUCUAGGUACAUCCAUUUUUAUCAAUUUGUGCGACAAGUAAUCCUGGACGAAGGGAGUAUUUG
rfam:Hordeum vulgare subsp. vulgare, WGS project CAJW01000000 data, contig: morex_contig_1004441